AAAGCUAGAGAAAAGUGUGUGAGAAUGAUGUCUGACCAAAUGAGGAAUAUUAACACAGAGAAACCAGGGAAGAGGAAGAACCAGAGAAGGUUCCUAAAAUCAAAACUACAGCCCCGUGUGGAGCUCACUCAGAGCUCUCCAGACGGCAGAGGAAAGGGUGAGUCUGCGGACUUCAGGAGAAGCUAUCAAAUCCAAAGACAGAAGGAAGAUGGAAGGAAAACAAGGACUUCAGGAGGCCCGCGGGGUUUCCCUGAGCACACCAACACAGAGGAGGGCAGUCCUAGGGAGGCGGUGAGGGAGAUGCUUGAGAAGUGAGUGGCCAAGUGAACCCCGAGUUCAACACCAGAUUUAAGCCCAUACACCCAAGAGGUUCGAAAAACAGGCUCUGAUUGAUCGGAGGGUCACACUGAACCAGUUAUGCAGCCGACACACUCGUAGCUCCAGUGGGAAAAGCCAGACAGGGCAGACCUAGUCGACGUGCUCAGGCCUGUAUUCCCAGCUACUGGAGGGCUGGCUACGGCAGGAGCAUUGCGCCUGGACCACAGAGGGAAUUUGAAGCCAUCGCCCGCAAGUCAUUGAGAGUUUAUUACCAAGUAAAAGAGGGCUAAAGGCAUAGCUCGCUGGGAGGGUAUUGCCUGUAUGUGUGAGGGUUUGGGUUACAGCCUGUGGAGUGUGUAUGUGUGUGUGGAGUGAGCCCACACAACACACAACGCAGGGACCAGAAGCUCCCAGGAUGGACGCUGUGAAGGGGCAUCCUGUUCUGAGCCUGGGAGCCUCCUCAAGCUGAUUCCUGGGCAGAAAUCUGCACCGACGAGACAGCGGGAUGGCAGCUUGCACACAGCCCAUUGGAUCUACUGCGGCUGAGCCCGCAGACGCAGGCUGUCCUCCCAUUAGAGGGACUGGCAGUAAAGACACCUCGGAGGAUGGGGACCUACAUCUAUGCCAGCUCAAGGAGUUAGUUUUUAUUAUGUCCUAAUUGGUCAGAAGAGGGCAUCAGAUCCCCUGGAACUCGAGUUACAAGUGUUCGUGAGCUGUCAUGUGGGUGCAGAGAACAGACUCAGAUUGCGCCUCAGAAAGACAAGCUGUGGUGCUCCGUGCACAGAUUCUGUGUGUUGUGGGAUGCUCCCAGCGAGGCUCCUAGGUUCUCCACAUCCAGCAAGUUGCCAGCGAUGCUCCAGCAAGCUUUGUACAAACUGUUGCCAGGGCUAAACAUCCUACGUGACCUCCCCAGCAGAAAGACCUUUGGAUGCAGCCUGUCUCCCCUGACCUUUGACCUGUGCCUUCUCCAGGGCGCUUGACAACACGUUCUUCUGCAAUGAAUGUCCACCGUGAGUGUGAGCACACGCUGCAGCUCCAGAGGAUGAGCAGAGCUAUGUGGAGUCUUGGGAAUCUCCAACGGGGGUGGCUUUGUUUUUAUCCAUUUCAAAGCGUGUUUGUCAUACUUUUUAAGGAUCCCAUUUAUCCUAUAUUUGUGGAUUUCCAAAUUCCUUUUUCUUAGACUUUUCGAAUUUCAUCUCAUUAAAGUUGGCAAACGUACUUUGGAUGAAC